AUUGAACGCUGGCGGCAUGCCUUACACAUGCAAGUCGAACGGUAACAGGUCUUCGGAUGCUGACGAGUGGCGAACGGGUGAGUAAUACAUCGGAACGUGCCCGAGAGUGGGGGAUAACGAGGCGAAAGCUUUGCUAAUACCGCAUACGAUCUCAGGAUGAAAGCAGGGGACCGCAAGGCCUUGCGCUCACGGAGCGGCCGAUGGCAGAUUAGGUAGUUGGUGGGAUAAAAGCUUACCAAGCCGACGAUCUGUAGCUGGUCUGAGAGGACGACCAGCCACACUGGGACUGAGACACGGCCCAGACUCCUACGGGAGGCAGCAGUGGGGAAUUUUGGACAAUGGGCGCAAGCCUGAUCCAGCCAUGCCGCGUGCAGGAUGAAGGCCUUCGGGUUGUAAACUGCUUUUGUACGGAACGAAAAGACUCUGGUUAAUACCUGGGGUCCAUGACGGUACCGUAAGAAUAAGCACCGGCUAACUACGUGCCAGCAGCCGCCGUAAGAC
rnacentral:rRNA from 1 species